CCUACGGGUGGCUGCAGUGGGGAAUAGUGGACAAUGGGGGCAACCCUGAUCCAGCCAUGCCGCGUGUGUGAAGAAGGCCCUCGGGUUGUAAAGCACUUUCAGUGAGGAAGAACGCCUGGUGGUUAAUACCCAUCAGGAAAGACAUCACUCACAGAAGAAGCACCGGCUAACUCCGUUCCAGCAGCCGCGGUAAUACGGAGGGUGCGAGCGUUAAUCGGAAUUACUGGGCGUAAAGCGCGCGUAGGUGGCUUGAUAAGCCGGUUGUGAAAGCCCCGGGCUCAACCUGGGAACGGCAUCCGGAACUGUCAAGCUAGAGUGCAGGAGAGGAAGGUAGAAUUCCCGGUGUAGCGGUGAAAUGCGUAGAGAUCGGGAGGAAUACCAGUGGCGAAGGCGGCCUUCUGGACUGACACUGACACUGAGGUGCGAAAGCGUGGGUAGCAAACAGGAUUAGAUACCCUUGUAGUC
rnacentral:rRNA from 1 species